GGCUGCAAGGCAAAACACAGACAUGAGAUCAAGGCCUGUAGUUACCUCUCCCUCCUACGUCCCCACCAAGGCUGCAACCUCACAUAUAAAGCAAGCAGGACCAAAUGUGUCUCCCUCAGGCCCAGCAGGCACCAGAUCCCUAGUGGGACACUGCAGGGGUACAUCCUGUACCAUGCCACAAAACAUUUCAACAAGUUGGGCCAUGUGCCUUAAACCACCCCACUUUGUAGCAUGAGACCCUCUCAUCCAGAACACUGCCUGAAGUCAGCCUAGACACCUGUCUUUGUUUCUUUAUCCAGGACAACAGCUGCCUUUCUUAGGUUGAUAUAGGAGAGACCACAACAGGUCCCCUAUCACUCCCAAGGCUUGGCAGCAAGCUACAUGAUUCACACCAGGGAUGGAAUCCAGCACCUUGCCAUCUACAUGGGCUGCUAAUACCUGUAACCUCAAGAUUUGGUGGUGGACUCCCAUACUGGCUGACCUGAAAGCUGCACGAGUAAGGACAGGCCAAACGGUGGUACCGGGCGUCUCCUCAGGGUCUACUACUUAUGGCCACCCCAUGCCUGCUGCCCUACAGGACCCUACUAGGAGAGCACAGAGCAGGCCUUUUACGCUGUCACAUACGUCUCAACAGAUAAAGUACCUGCUGUUGACCCCAAGGAGCAACAGGGUGAGGCUGAUCAAACCAAGGGGGCUUGUUUGGCGGGAUCUGUUCAUGGGGACCAGGACCCCGAGGGCCAGCAGCUGCAGGAUCCUGGACACCUGCCGAGGCAUCGUACUCUGAAGAACCAGGCAUCUGGAUGGGAGGCUUGUUGUCAUCUAAACACAGGUGACAGUCGGUUAGAAGUCACUGACCGUCAGUAGGAGGAAGGACUGUUGAGUCUAACACCCCCAAUUCGGUUCAGGACAGGACUGAAUUGUGUUCCUAACGUCACUGAAAGCCACUGCUGCCAAUGUCACCACCACAGUCCUCUAGAGAUACAAGUGUGGACAUUUUCAAUGCUCAUGACAUGUCACUGUUUUGUCUACAAGUUGUCAUCUCCCCCACCCCCUGCCCCAGGGUUUCUCGGUUUCUCUGUGUAGCCUUAGCUGUCCUGUAAUUCACAGAGAUCCACCUGCCCCUACUCCCCGAGUGCUGGGAUUAAAGAUAGGUACCACUACUGCCCAGCUCAAAUUAUUUUUUUUAGUGAACUCAUCUCAUGGUAGUCAGAGAGCAACUCUUGGCAUCAGGCUCUCUCCUGCCACCCGGUGGAUCCUAGGGAUCAAACUGACUCGCCUUACUGGUCUCUACCUCAGUUUUGGAGUGUCUCACUGAACUCCAGGAAUCGACCUGUCUCUGCCUUCCCAGCACUGAGCUAAUACACACCACUCUACCCA